AAUAAUUCUGAGCAACACAGUCAUGGAACAGCAAUCUAUUCAUGGAUCACUCUCAAACAGAAGAAAAGGUUUGGGGAGAUCCUGCUGCUUUUGGGCAACUGGCUUAUCCUCAGCGCUGAAGCCCCAGCAUAUACCAGGCUAGUAAAGCCCUAGCCACUGCCAAAAUCCAUCUGGUGAUGAAGCUGUUGCCCUCUAGGAGACAGAUUUAUGGCCAGGAUAUUCUCCUGCACCAACUGCAGUAUGACACUGUGUGGAGACUGUCUGACGCAACCUGCUUCUUCUUUAAAAGAAGUUAACCUCUGGAAUGUUCAAAUUGAGUCCAGUUUCCCCCUGGAGCAGAGAUGGGUCUGAUCUGGAUCCAAACUUCCCUAAUGAUUUAGUUUGAGCCCAUCUCUAGUUUCAAAUGACUGUUUGGAGGGGAAAGGUGAUUUGGUUUUUAUGCAAACUGGUUGGCUUGUCCCUGCUCCCAAGCUGCCUUCUUUUCCAUAAUACUGGUGUGACCUGCUCUUGUUAUUUCAGUGUCACACACCCAUUAGCCCUUAAGCCCAGUACAGCAUUUGUGCUGCAUGUCCUGCUGAGUCAGCAACUGGAGCAGCAGUCCCGGCCAUAAGGAGGGCAAGAAAAAUAAGAAGCUUGAACUUGCCAGUGCUCCUCAAACAGGACCUCCAAACCCAAAGGCUGCAUGCUGGCCUGGGCAAAAUGAGCACAUGGUCUUAGUCCAGUGGUUCCUAGUGGGCGGGUGUCCGCAUCACAGAAGCCAUUAUUAUAAAUAGCACCCUUUGAUGGCAUUCUCAUCACAGAAGCCAAGGAUUGAAUUGGCCACAGAGUAAAAAAAUUCCCUUUAGCUCAGUGAUGAGGCACUUUGGCAGGAGAACAGUGGAUGGGGGAAGUUUGUGCAGCCCAUCCUGUACCUGUUCUGUGUAUAUAUACAGAGGGCUUCAGUCUCCACGGCUGUAGCACUAAAAAAACUGCCCUUAGAGGUUUAAAAAAAAAAAAAAAAACAAUCUAAAGAGACAGGCAGGAAGAAGUCACAUUUUUCCAAAAUAUCCAGUGCUGAAUUCGGGAAGGCUGGAAGAAGGCCAAACAGCUACAACGAUGGAAGAAAGUUUGGGGAACUUUCACUGGAGUGUUCAGAAAAGUUUUUCAAAACUGCUCUCCCCAGCCUGCAGCAGGAGAGAGAAAACCUUGGUGGGCAGAGGAGAAGCCGCUGCUGCCACCCCCUCCUUUUCUUGCUGCCAGAUAAAGAGGACAGACUCUCCUUUUUCAGCCCAUUCUGGUCACACAAUGGGAGAAGGGGAUCAGCGCCAAAAUUACAAGUGUGAGCCCUUAAUGCAUCAGGUUGAACAAUAGGCUUUGGAAGCGUCUGUCUUGUCGAGAGAAGCAGUACAGCUAGUUCUGGCCAUUCAGUGCCAUGGAAAAAAAGCUCAUUGUCCUGGUGAAAAACUCCCUCGAAUGAAAACACCCUCCUCCUCUUUUCUUCAGCUUCCUAAUGGGAAGCAAAAUAACAAACCAGGCCCACAAUUAAACAAACAUGCCACUAACUGAGCAGAGCUCAAGUGUAACAGAUGUUGUUACAGUUAGUCCAGGCUGGGGCAGGGAGGGGGGGAGCUAAACUGUGCAGUGUCUGGCUGUGGUUACAGAGACGCUGUCAUUGUAGGGGUUUCCUUUGCUGCUUUGUGUUUUCCUUCCAUCUCUUUCUCUUUCUCCUCCUUUUUCUCUUGUACUCCUUUCGCGCUCUCUCUCUCUCUUUCCAUUUCUGUCUCGUCUCUUCUGCCUUGUUUUGUUCCAACACCUCGUUCAUUGCAGAUGUAGAUUUAUGUUUUUUAACAGUAGAAACACUGAUUAGGUUUCAGAAAAUCUAAGAGGAAGGAGAAACUGUUUGAAUGGAUCUUUUAGGGUAGGAUGGCUUUUAUUACCACAAGGGAACUAGCUCCAUCCCCUUGUUAAAAUGCUCUCUCUGUUAGGGUGCUCUGGCACAGAGAAAUGCCAGCAGGUCUUGGUUCCCAGUGAAUUUGAGAUCCCAUUAUAAAAAACACGCUUUUAAAAUAUAGGCCAAAUUCUGCACUCAUACCAGUGUAAAUCCCGAGUAGUUCCAUUCACUCCUCCUCAGUGUAAGUGAGAGCAAAACUUCAUCCUUCCUCUUUAAGACAUUCAAAAUGGUCAUGUUCUGGUGUUUUCCUUGCCCACAAGAAAGCUGGUUCGGGGUUUGAGUCCAGGGCUUGGAUUUAUACCCAAUCCUGACACUGCAGGGGCCACUACUUUGUUAGAUGUGGGUGAGACCAUCCAUCUGAGGUUCUGUCCGUGUGUAAAUUUAAGAUCUUAGAUCAUAAAUGGAGGUGAAAUAACUGUGAGGUCCUGGCCAGUAUUCCCUGUAUUAGCAGACCAGGUUCUGUGACCUACCAGCAAAGCUACAGCAAAGUGCAUUAUGGCUGCUUUGCUAGUAAAUAACUCACAUGUGCUUUGCGAUCUCUCAAGUAUAAAAGAUGCUAAAGGAAACAAAAUUCUAUCCUCUUUCCAUUUUCACACACAAAACUUUCUGGAUAUGGAAAGAGUCUCGUUGGAAUGUUGUGGGCAGGUUUUAUUUCUACCUGGGAGGGUACAUACAUCAGGCAUUUGAAAGUCAGAGAAACGUUGAACAUUAGCAAUAAAUAAAUGCAGAAGUGAGGGAAGGUGGUUAUUUAUUUAUUUAUUUAUGAAUUUGCAUUCUGGCAAGUACUUCGUGUGAUACAUUUUAUAGAUUUCCAGAAGGCUUUAACAGUGAACACAGAGAGACCGUCUUUCGAUAAUUAUGGCAUGUUAUGGAAGACCUACAAAAAUAAUUAGAAUAAUCAAGGAUUUUUAUGAUCCAUGCCAAAUGUGCAAUCAGAAAUUAUGACGUCAUCUGCCAAUGAUUUGCCGUGGAACCUGGAGUAAGGCAACAAAUAGUAUGUCCAAACUAUUGUUUAAACUAUUCAUUGACUAUGUCAUGAGGAAAGUAAUUGCAGAAGGCAACUGAGGAAUUUUGUGGACAAAUUAUAAAGCAUAAUUGGAUGACCUUGUUUUUGCUGAUGACAUUGUCCUGCUUUGUUCAACACACAACUUAAAGGAAUAAAAAGACACAGCUUUUGGCAGAUACAGCAAAACAAGUUGGUUUGUUUAUCAACAAGGGGAAGACAAAAUAUAUGGCUAUCAGUUUCCCAAAAGUAACCAUUAGAAUGGAUGAAAAAACACGAGAAGAAGUCAUUUUGCUGAUCUCGGGAGUGAGAUGUGCUGUGACGGUGACUCCAUGCUGGAUAUCAAGCAACAAAUAUCAAAAGCAUCAAAAAACUUUCCUGAACUUGAAAAGAUUUGGAAAAGUAGUAUGAUUGAAACAGACAAAAUAAUGUGAAUGUUUAACACCGGCAUCAUGUCUGUCCUCCUUUAUGGAGCACCGUCAUAGAAGUCUACACCAGAAAUUGAUAAGAAAAUCAAUUCAUUCCAAAGUAAAUGCCUGUGGAAGAUCUUCAGAGUCCAUUGGAAAGAGUUUCUUGCACCAUCAGAAAUGUUAAGUAGAGCAAACUAAUCUAAAGCAUCAAAUGUGGUAAGAAGAUGAUGAAAGAUAUAUUUGUCAUGUUUUAAGGAGGCCACCAGCAUGACUUCCAUGCAAGUGAUAAUGCAUGCCACUAGGAAAGAGAAAAGAGGGCAACCUAGAGAUACAUUAAGCAGAACAAUAGAGAAAGAAGCCAAAUCCAUCAACAUGACACUCAGAAGCCUGCACAGACCAGCAUAAGACACGCCUUCCCCCCCCCC